GUUUCCCCAUGUGAGAGUAGGUCAUCGUCAAGA
rnacentral:rRNA from 2 species